UGGGGAAUUUUGGACAAUGGGCGAAAGCCUGAUCCAGCAAUGCCGCGUGUGUGAAGAAGGCCUUCGGGUUGUAAAGCACUUUUGUCCGGAAAGAAAUCCUUGGCUCUAAUACAGUCGGGGGAUGACGGUACCGGAAGAAUAAGCACCGGCUAACUGCGUGCCAGCAGCCGCGGUAAUACGUAGGGUGCAAGCGUUAAUCGGAAUUACUGGGCGUAAAGCGUGCGCAGGCGGUUUGCUAAGACCGAUGUGAAAUCCCCGGGCUCAACCUGGGAACUGCAUUGGUGACUGGCAGGCUAGAGUAUGGCAGAGGGGGGUAGAAUUCCACGUGUAGCAGUGAAAUGCGUAGAGAUGUGGAGGAAUACCGAUGGCGAAGGCAGCCCCCUGGGCCAAUACUGACGCUCAUGCACGAAAGCGUGGGAGCAAACAGGAUUAGAUACCCUGGUAGUCCACGCCCUAAACGAUGUCAACUAGUUGUUGGGGAUUCAUUUCCUUAGUAACGUAGCUAACGCGUGAAGUUGACCGCCUGGGGAGUACGGUCGCAAGAUUAAAACUCAAAGGAAUUGACGGGGUCAUAGCUGUUUCCU
rnacentral:rRNA from 1 species